rnacentral:antisense_RNA from 1 species
GUCUAUGGUGGCUCAGGCGAGGCAGCCCUCGGGCUGGCCGGUUUCCAGUAGUGCCGGUACUGCUAACCUCGUCUGGGCUACCACCCAU